UGGGGGUAUGGCUUAAGUACAGAGAAGCCCUCACCUCAGA
rfam:Echinops telfairi cont1.292065, whole genome shotgun sequence.